CUUGAAUAAUGCUGAGGGUAAAGAGGAGAACGAAAAUUUUUCGCGAUGUCUUCCACCUCCUUCUCCUCUCGCACUCUACGAUCAGCAAGUUCACGGCGUAGCGCCUGUAGAAUUGAGAGAGCGUAUCAGCGCCGUUCUCACGAGAAGUGCGCGCGAGCUCGUCUGUCCGCAGAAAAAGAAUCGUUUCCGAGCGUGCUAGUGUAAAGAAGAGAAGAGAAGAGAAGAGGAGUCAGUCGGGGCAGUCACGCGUGAAGGCACGGACCCACGGAGUCCGCAUGACAACUCGCAUGGUGUCUGCACUCAUUUAGAUUGGUUGGCCGUGCCGAUCUCGACGACGAAUCGAGCGUGCCUCUUUGCACGCUCGCUAGUUGAAUUGGGAAAGAGUCGGUCAAGAGAGGAGCCCACGGACUAUGGGAAUACCUUGAAAGACUAGAGCAAGUGCUUACUGUAUUAUAAAAUCAGAAAGAACUUCAUUUUUGUUAUAUAAAAGUUUGUCUGCAUCGAGUUGUACUUAGUAAAAUGAUUAUUUGAAAAUUAAUGGUUUAAAAAUUUUCCUCGUUCGAAAAUUUCAUAAAUUUCUCAUUUUAUUUAACUUACAGAAAGAUACAAAAAUCGACUUCUUGAAACGAAAUACAAAAGAAAAACGAUAAGAAGAAUGAUUUAUAAAAUGGAACGAUUAUCGAAUCAAUUAUAAUUCUAUAUAAACAAAUUCGAACAGUUUGCUGUGUAUGUAAAUGGAGCGAAUUUGUUAUCUUCGGCAUAUUUUUUAGAUGGUGAGGCAAGUGCAUCUAAAAAAGAGGUAGUCGGAAAGAAUCAGUUAGAAAAAUCUAGUAUUUAUCAUUAUAUAAACCCGGUAACUAAUUAGUUAAUCUGUAUAUUAAUUACCGAUGCAAUGGAUGAUUGAUUAAUAAAUCUGUAAAAUAGGUAACUAAAUAAUAAAUCGUUAUUCUGCAUUUUGCAAGAGCGAUAAUCAGUUAAUAUAUCUGUGUUCCGCAUUUUAUAAAGACGACAAUAAAUCUAUAAGACUGUAUCAAUAUGACAAAAAUCAAUAAGUCUACAAUUAGUUGAAUGGUCUAUAUUCUAUCAUAACUUUUAUUGAACAUUGUCUGACUAACUCGUUGAAACGAGAAUCCAUUCUUGCACAUCAUGCGUAAAAAAAAUAAACAAUUUGAAAUCUUUAUUUUAA